rnacentral:rRNA from 1 species
UACGUAGGGUGCAAGCGUUGUCCGGAAUUAUUGGGCGUAAAGAGCUCGUAGGCGGUCUGUCGCGUCGGAUGUGAGAAUCCAGGGCUCAACCCUGGACCUGCAUUCGAUACGGGCAGACUAGAGUUCGGUAGGGGAGACUGGAAUUCCUGGUGUAGCGGUGAAAUGCGCAGAUAUCAGGAGGAACACCGGUGGCGAAGGCGGGUCUCUGGGCCGAAACUGACGCUGAGGAGCGAAAGCGUGGGGAGCAAACAGG